rnacentral:rRNA from 1 species
AUUGAACGCUGGCGGCAGGCCUAACACAUGCAAGUCGAACGAGUGGCGGACGGGUGAGUAAUGUCUGGGAACCUGCCUGAUGGAGGGGGAUAACUACUGGAAACGUUAGCUAAUCCCGCAUACCAUCGGAUGUGCCCAGAUGGGAUUAGCUAGUAGGUGGGGUAAAGGCUCACCUAGGCGACGAUCCCUAGCUGGUCUGAGAGGAUGACCAGCCACACUGGAACUGAGACACGGCCCAGACUCCUACGGGAGGCAGCAGUGGGGAAUAUUGCACAAUGGGCGGAAGCCUGAUGCAGCCAUGCCGCGUGUAUGAAGAAGGCCUUCGGGUUGUAAAGUACUUUCAGCGGGGAGGCGUUACCCGCAGAAGAAGCACCGGCUAACUCCGUGCCAGCAGCCGCGGUAAUAC